CUUUGUCUUUCCCACUAUUCCACCUUAUUUUCCCUAAAACCGUAGUGGCUCUGCUCUCCUAUACCAGUUGAGAAUGCUCGUCCCUCCAAAUUGAGUUUCACCACAAAUUUAUUUCACUGCUCUGAUUCGUAGAACAUCUUGCUAAUCCGAGGAAAGUUCGCCGAUCGACGGAGAUUCGUAAUAGUUUUAACAAGAACGAAUCAUGAUCAUAUUAAAGUCAGCAUGUUUACAAAUCGGCUUGUGGUUGAGUGAUGACUAUAGCGGCUUCCGGAAAGCAUACGAAAUUGACGAAAUUUAUAUUCGUAAUGUUGGCUUACUUGGAGUCAGCCUAAUUACAGAUCCACUUUGGGCUUCUUCCUCUUUAGAUCCCAAACUUUGAACCAGCCACCACCUAAAUCUUGUGCCCAUAUCUAGAAAUUAAACCAAGUAUGAUUCCCAAAUUGCGUUCAUAUUCUCAAGUUGACAGCUCUCAACAAUCCGUAGUGACAUCAAAGAGUUUGUUAAUCCAAGUAAUUUCUAUAGAUCAAGUUCCAAGUAUGAAUUGAAGAUGUCGGUAUGGAUUGCAAGUAUGAAGAUAUCGCUUUAGGAAGAAGAUACCGUUUAUUUAUUAAUUUCAUCUUUAGAGAUAUGUAUUUUGUGUUAUUUCAAAACUUUUGUAAUUUUAUGUUACUUUGAAACCUUUGUAACUUA